UAGGGUUUGAUUCUGGCUCAGAUUGAACGCUGGCGGUAUGCCUAAUACAUGCAAGUCGAACGGAAACGAUGGAAGCUUGCUUCCAGGCGUCGAGUGGCGGACGGGUGAGUAAUACUUGGGAAUCUGCCCAUUAGUUGGGGAAAACACGGGGAAACUCGUGCUAAUACCGAAUAAUCUCUUCGGAGGAAAGGGGACCUCUAUUUAUAAGUUCUCGCUGAUGGAUGAGCCCAAGCAAGAUUAGCUAGUUGGUAAGGUAAUGGCUUACCAAGGCUACGAUCUUUAGCUGUUCUGAGAGGAUGAUCAGCCACACUGGGACUGAGACACGGCCCAGACUCCUACGGGAGGCAGCAGUAGGGAAUAUUGCACAAUGGGGGAAACCCUGAUGCAGCAAUACCGCGUGUGUGAAGAAGGCUUUCGGGUUGUAAAGCACUUUCAAUAGAGAAGAAAAGUUUAGGGUUAAUACCCCUAAGCCUUGACGUUAUCUAUACAAGAAGCACCGGCUAAUUCCGUGCCAGCCGCCGCGGUAAUUCA
rnacentral:rRNA from 1 species